ACGCUCGACACCUACGGAGGCAGCAGUAGGGAAUCUUCCACAAUGGACGCAAGUCUGAUGGAGCAACGCCGCGUGAGUGAAGAAGGUUUUCGGAUCGUAAAGCUCUGUUGUUGGUGAAGAAGGAUAGAGGUAGUAACUGGCCUUUAUUUGACGGUAAUCAACCAGAAAGUCACGGCUAACUACGUGCAAGCAGCCGCGGUAAUCUGAGCGGGCUGGCAAGGC
rnacentral:rRNA from 1 species